rnacentral:rRNA from 1 species
CAGUAGCCGCGGGAAUACGUAGGUCCCGAGCGUUGUCCGGAUUUAAUGGGCGUAAAGGGAGCGCAGGCGGUUUAGUACGUCUGAAGUUAAAGGCAUUGGCUCAACCAAUGUAUGCUUUGGAAACUGUUAGACUUGAGUGCAAGAGGGGAGAGUGGAAUUCCAUGUGUAGCGGUGAAAUGCGUAGAUAUAUGGAGGAACACCGGUGGCGAGAGCGGCUCUCUGGCUUGCAACUGACGCUGAGGCUCGAAAGCGUGGGGAGCAAACAGGAUUAGAUACCCGCGUAGUCCCUGUCUCUUAUACC